AUGUCCUGGCUCUCUGCUCCCCAGACUGUGGGGUUUUGCCUGAUUUUUUUAGCUCUAUCCCAUGUCAGGGGUUGCACCAUAGGAUUUCUUAGCCCCUGUCUUCUGCAGCAGUUGGGGGCUGGUCUGGGUGCUCAGCCCUGGGUGCUGCCUUGUCCUGCUCAGCACCUCGGGGGGGCUGGACCGGACCCUGUCCCUACACACCUGGAAAACUGGGGGCAGGAGGUGUUUGGGAACAGGACCCACUGCUAUAAUACACGAAGGACUGGAAAUAGGGCUGAGGGUAAUUCUGGACCGAGCCCACAAAAGCAAUGGGGUUACAAGGGGUUGUACCCGGGGAGGGGAUGCAGGGCAGCAGAUGGGGGUGCAAAGCCGGCUGGAAACCUCCCCAUUUUCCCCCAUAAGGGAAAAAAAAAAAGAGAAGGGGGGUCUGCCAGUCGCCCAGCCGAGCACAAGUCCUGCCUCCUGCCUCCUUCCUCCUCCUCCUCCUCCCAGAUGUUCCCUUGUGUGCAGCCAUCUGUUGAGCUCCCUCCUCCCUCCUCCUGCGGGGAAAGGGGCAGCCCGCCUGCCCGGCCAGCUGCACGCCUUGGAGGAGGAGGAGAAGAAGGAGGAGGAGGAGGAGGAGGAGGAGGGAGGAGGAGGAGAAGAAGGAGGAGGGAGGAAGGGGACACCCGGCCCCCAGGCUUUGCUCUCGCCGGCUGCCGGCGGCGCCCGCUCCCCACCGUGGGAACCGGCGCUGCGUGGCCGUGGGAAGCAGCCCCGGNNNNNNNNNNNNNNNNNNNNCACGACCCCCCCAAUCCCCUCCCCACGCUUACAGGCAGCCGACAAAGCAGCAGCCCCCUCCCCAUCCCCAAUUCCCCAUUCCGGGGAAGGGGGGAGCUCGCUGAACGGGGGGGUCGGGGGGGUGCUGAGCCUCCCCGGGGAUGCUCAGGGCCGAGCUGGGGAGGGGUCUGCUGGACACCCCCCCCCCAUACCUCCGAGCGAGGAAACUUUUGGGGUGCCACGACUUUUUGCCCCGCGUGGGACCUCAGCCUCUCCAAAAAAGCAGCGGGCGUGCGGAGAUGGGGUGUUUGGGGAGGGGAAGCGCUGAGCUCCGGCGGGGAGGGAAACCACUUUCCCCCCACCCCUGGCAUCCCAAAAAGGGGGGAUUUGGGGUACGGAGACUCGUCCGAGCCCUGCCCGUUCCCUCCCCGCGGGCUGCAGCCGGGGCAGGACUCGCGGCUCCGGCCGGGUUUGGGGUUUUAUUUUUAUUUCUUUUUCCCCUUCUCCUUCCCCGUGCAAUGGUGGCUGCGGAGCAAUCGGGCUUGCCACGGCUGCAAAGUAAUCCGAGCAGCAGCUGGAGGCUCCGCACCGCCUCCCGUGCCCAGCUUCAGGGCUUUGAUUUCACACAGGGCUCCCUGUCUGCCUUCCUCCCUCCCCUCUCCAGCGGGGAGCCUUUGGGGUUUUUCUUUUUUUUUCUUUUUUUUUUUUUUUUCCCUUUUUUUUUCCCCCUCCCAGCUCGGGUUCUCGUGCUGUAGGAGCUCGUAG
rnacentral:lncRNA from 1 species